AACGAACGCUGGCGGCAGGCUUAACACAUGCAAGUCGAAUGCCCCGCAAGGGGAGUGGCAGACGGGUGAGUAACGCGUGGGAACCUUCCCUAUAGUACGGAAUAUACCAGGGAAACUUGGAGCAAUACCGUAUACGCCCUUCGGGGGAAAGAUUUAUCGCUAUAGGAUGGGCCCGCGUAGGAUUAGCUAGUUGGUAAGGUAAUGGCUCACCAAGGCGACGAUCCUUAGCUGGUUUGAGAGAAUGACCAGCCACACUGGGACUGAGACACGGCCCAGACUCCUACGGGAGGCAGCAGUGGGGAAUAUUGGACAAUGGGCGCAAGCCUGAUCCAGCCAUGCCGCGUGAGUGAUGAAGGCCUUAGGGUUGUAAAGCUCUUUUAGUAGGGAAGAUAAUGACUGUACCUGCAGAAUAAGCUCCGGCUAACUUCGUGCCAGCCGCCGCCGUAA
rnacentral:rRNA from 1 species